GAUGAACGCUGACAGAAUGCUUAACACAUGCAAGUCCACUUGAAUUUGGGUUUUUAACUUAGGUUUGGGUGGCGGACGGGUGAGUAACGCGUAAAGAACUUGCCUCACAGCUAGGGACAACAUUUGGAAACGAAUGCUAAUACCUAAUAUUAUGAUAAUAGGGCAUCCUAUAAUUAUGAAAGCUAUAAGCGCUGUGAGAGAGCUUUGCGUCCCAUUAGCUAGUUGGAGAGGUAACGGCUCACCAAGGCGAUGAUGGGUAGCCGGCCUGAGAGGGUGAUCGGCCACAAGGGGACGGAGACACGGCCCUUACUCCUACGGGAGGCAGCAGUGGGGAAUAUUGGACAAUGGACCGAGAGUCUGAUCCAGCAAUUCUGUGUGCACGAUGAAGUUUUUCGGAAUGUAAAGUGCUUUCAGUUGGGAAGAAACAAAUGACGGUACCAACAGAAGAAGUGAUGGCUAAAUACGUG
rnacentral:rRNA from 1 species